rnacentral:ncRNA from 1 species
AAAAACUUGGUUUUGAUUUUUAUUUAGGUGAUUAAAUGAAAACACAUGGUAGUUUUGCUUUUAUGUAAAAGUUAUUACAUAUAGGAUAAUUUUAAAUAAAUAAUCACUUAUGUACUAGAAAAUAUUAGAUAAAUAUCUAUAAUGUUUGGGUUUCUUACAACACCAGUGUAGAAAAUUAAAAAUAAGAGAAAUCUUGAUUUAGAAAUUUAAUAGAUAAGCAGCAAAAAUCGUGCCAGCAGCUGCGGUUAUACGGGGGCUUAAACUUAAAUAUUUUACGGCUUAAAAGGCAGUUAUAGGAAAAACAGUUAAUGUUAAACUAAUAAAAAGGUAAAAUUUUAAUAUUAGUCUUUACUUUAUAUUAACCACUUCUAGAAGCUGCAAAAUUAUAUACAAAAACUGGGAUUUGAUACCCCACUAUUUUAUAAAGUAAAUUUUUAAUGCCAGAGAACUACGAGCUAGAAGCUUAAAACUCAAAAAACUUGGCGGUGUUCUAAACCCAUUUAGGGGAGCCUGUUCUAUAAUUGAUAAUCCGCACUUUACCUCACUUUAUUUUGUUAAUCAGUUUGUAUACCGCCGUCAUCAGCUUAUUCUUUAGGAAAUAAAAAUAAGCAAAUAAACCUUCAGUUUUAAUGUCAGGUCAUGGUACAGCCUACAAUAAAGAAGAAAUGGGCUACAAUUUAAAUUAAAAUUACGAAUUUAUGUCUUUAUAAACAUAUUGAAGUAGGACUUGAUAGUAAUUACCUGUUUAGAAUGCAGUGAUGAAAUAGGAUCUGGAACGUGUACAUAUCGCCCGUCGCUCUCGUUGGAAAAGGAGAUAAGUCGUAACACAGUAGAGGUAGCGGAAGCUGUUUCUAAUU